CUGCAGCUCAAGUGGUAGCCGCUAUUAUUGGGCCUAAAACGUUCGUAGCCGGUUUAGUAAAUGCUUGGGUAAAUUGUGUCGCUUAACGAUACGAAUACCGGGUAGACUGCUAAACUUGGGACCGGGAGAGGCUAGAGGUACUCCUGGGGUAGAGGUGAAAUUCUGUAAUCCUUGGGGGACCACCAGUGGCGAAGGCGUCUGACUAGAACGGAUCCGACGGUAAGGGACGAAACCCUGGGGCGCAAACCGGAUUAGAGACCCGAGUAGUCC
rnacentral:rRNA from 1 species